UACGUAGGGUGCGAGCGUUAAUCGGAAUUACUGGGCGUAAAGCGUGCGCAGGCGGUUUUGUAAGCCAGAUGUGAAAUCCCCGGGCUUAACCUGGGAAUGGCAUUUGGGACUGCAAGGCUUGAGUGCGGCAGAGGAGACUGGAAUUCCUGGUGUAGCAGUGAAAUGCGUAGAUAUCAGGAGGAACACCGAUGGCGAAGGCGGCAUCCUGGACCGGUAUUGACACUGAGGCGCGAAAGCCAGGGGAGCAAACGGG
rnacentral:rRNA from 1 species